rnacentral:rRNA from 1 species
UAUGUGAUCGUCUCUCGCAUAUCAAUAAGCGGAGGAAAAGAAACUAACAAGGAUUCCCCUAGUAACGGCGAGUGAAGCGGGAAGAGCUCAAAUUUGAAAUCUUAAAGGGUUUCCCUUUACGAAUUGUAGUUUAAAGAAGUGUUUUCUGUUGAGGUUUUGGUAAAAGUUCUUUGGAAUAGGACAUCAUAGAGGGUGAGAAUCCCGUAGUUUGACCUUUACUUUCAACUUUGUGAUACACUUUCAAAGAGUCGGAUUGUUUGGGAAUGCAGUCCAAAAUGGGUGGUAAAUUUCAUCUAAAGCUAAAUAUUGGCGAGAGACCGAUAGCGAACAAGUACCGUGAGGGAAAGAUGAAAAGAACUUUGAAAAGAGAGUUAAACAGUACGUGAAAUUGUCAAAAGGGAAGCGUUUGACACCAGUGUUGUUUUUCUGAAAAUCAAUUAAAGAACUGUUUAUGCUAAGUUGUUUAGACUUUAUCAGCUAACUGCUUAGUUUUGAGCUUUUCUUUAAUGCACUUUUCAGUUAACAAGUCAACAUCAAUUUCUUUUGCUGUAAAAAAGCUUGAGGAAGGUGGCUUGAGAUUCGUCUUAAGUGUUUAUAGCCUCUUGCCUAUGCAGUCGGAGAGAUUGAGGUCUGCAGCGUAGAUCCUUCGGGGCUAAAUGCAUUUGUGCUAAGUUAUAGCAUUUUAUAGACAACUUGUUGACUAUGAUUUGUCUUGUAGCUUACUCGCUUAUGUUAUUUUACCUACGCUUAGGAUGUUGAAGUCAUCGUAUCGCGC